rnacentral:rRNA from 1 species
UCGGGAAUUUUGGGCAAUGGGCGAAAGCCUGACCCAGCAACGCCGCGUGAAGGAUGAAGUAUUUCGGUAUGUAAACUUCGUAAGAAUAGGAAGAAUAAAUGACGGUACUAUUUGUAAGAUCCGGCUAACUACGUGCCAGCAGCCGCGGUAAUACGUAGGGACCAAGCGUUGUUCGGAUUUACUGGGCGUAAAGGGCGCGUAGGCGGUGUGUCAAGUCAGUUGUGAAAUCUCCGAGCUUAACUCGGAACGGUCAACUGAUACUGUCACACUAGAGUACAGAAGGGGCAAUCGGAAUUCUUGGUGUAGCGGUGAAAUGCGUAGAUAUCAAGAGGAACACCUGAGGCGAAGGCGGGUUGCUGGGCUGACACUGACGCUGAGGCGCGAAAGCCAGGGGGAGCAAACGGGAUUAGAUACCCGCGUAGUCCCUGAGCGGGCUGGCAAGGCGCAU